UACCCGGUGCUUUCACUUGGUUAGAACAGACGGGACAACCGAAGACUUCUCGUAUCGCAAGUGUGUCCUUGCUGCUCUUGAUAGCAUUGCCCCUGAAAAAGCAAAACUCUACAGGUCAAAAUGGUUGGAACAACAGGAUUAUGAAUGAUCCAACUCCUUGUGCAAGUUCACAUGAAUGUACAUGCAUGUAUAAUAACAUUUAAGGGAGCGGUUCAACGUUGUGCCAUCAUUUUGACCUCAAGCAGUGUUAUGCAGUCAUUUUGACCUCAAGCGUAUAUAUCACAGCUUAUAAUGUCUAGUCGAGGAAUUUAUUUUGUGAGAGAAGUUGGAGUAAGGCAGUUUUAAUGGAUGACUGAUAUUUAGGCAGCUGACAUAUCAUAGGUUCUCUUGAUGGCAGGCCGACAUUCUUUAGUUUCCUUAGAUGGAUUUUGGUACAUGUUGUUAGGCAUAUGGGCAUAUCACCUCAGAAGAGUAAUAGGAUUUUCUACUGAGUGGUAGUGCACAACAGGGGGCAAGAGGGUUAGAUUUAGAGUAAAACUUUCAUUUAUUUUUUUUUAAAAUCAUUUCUAAUAUGUAUUUAGUUGUAACUCUUAUGUUACCCAUAAAUACAGGGUAGCCACUUUCUGUUGCUUCUUUUUGCUUCUUUCACUAGUAUUUGGUUUGCCUUCAAUUUUAUCAGGCAAAACAAACUAGUGGAAGCAGCAACGAGAAGCCUGUUAGGGGUAACCGCUUCCUCCAUUAAUGAUAUAUGUAUUUCGUUGAAGAAUAAAGCAUUUGGAAAUGCAAAAACUAGUUUACAGCUGAUUAUGUUGUUGAGCACUUCUAAAGUUAAUAUAUCAUAUAUGCUGUACAUUGUUACGUUAUUGUUGCAGGAGUAGAGAUAGAGCUUUAACCCAGAUGGUAGAAUGACCAGCUUGGCUUGCAAUUUUGUUAUCCAACUCCUGGAUUUAAACUCAGACAAGUUUCUGUCAAAGCAAGUCUUUGGCGUGGAAAAGAUGUUUCCCA
rnacentral:lncRNA from 1 species